CCCCCCCCCCCCUUUUUUUUUUCAGAGGGUUGCAUGUUAUCUACUAAUCAAAACCUGGCUACAUUGAAACACUGCCCUGGCAGACACAUCAUGAACAAGACACAACACAUGUUCCUCUAUAUACACAAUAUUUAUAUUUUGUUUUCAGAUAUUUUACAUUGAUCAAGUCAGAAACAUGCCCUUAGAGCACUCAACCUUUUUUUUUCUUUCCAUCUAGAAUCAAUCCAAAAAAAAAACACAAGCAAAACACUUUUUUUUGUCAUUCAUAAACCUGACUACUAUGUAUAGAAAUCAACAAAACAAUUUAGGAUUAAUAUAACGGACAAAAAUGAAAUCAUUUCAUAAUAAACAGCACCCUCCUUAUCAAUGUCCUAAAAUAAGAGGUGUGGACAAUCAAACAAAAUUCUGUCAUAACAAUUAUAUCUCAGUAAUUGAAAGAUAUCCAUAGCCACAUACAACAAUAUUAAUAAAUAUUUUUUAAACAAUAUGAAGCAUAUUAUAGGAGAUUUGUUAUAUAGGACUAGACUACCCUAUAUCAAAGAACACUCGCUUUUUCUUUUGUUUACAUAAAUAAUUAGAAACAAGAGUUGUGCAAAUAGCUUUUCUUUUUUUUUUAGCAUUCACUAAUUUCAUCUCCCCUUCAAACCAUAUUGGAAAAAAAAAGGCAGCCACAACUUUUUUUUUGUCUCU